rnacentral:rRNA from 1 species
GAUGAACGCUGGCGGCGUGCCUAAUACAUGCGAGUCGAGCGAACGGACGAGAAGCUUGCUUCUCUGAUGUUAGCGGCGGACGGGGGAGUAACACGUGGAUAACCUACCUAUAAGACUGGGAUAACUUCGGGAAACCGGAGCUAAUACCGGAUAAUAUUUUGAACCGCAUGGUUCAAAAGUGAAAGACGGUCUUGCUGUCACUUAUAGAUUGAUCCGCGCUGCAUUAGCUAGUUGGUAAGGUAACGGCUUACCAAGGCAACGAUGCAUAGCCGACCUGAGAGGGUGAGGGGCCCGACUGGAGCGGAGGCCCGGCCAAGAUGCGAACGGGAGGCGGCAGAAGGGAAUCUUCGGCAAUGGGGGAAAGCAUGACGGAGAAAGGCCGAGAGAGUGAUGAAGGUAUGCGGAUCGUAAAACUCUGUUAUUAGGGAAGAACAUAUGUAUAAGAAACUAUGAAAAUGUUGACGGUACCUAAACAGAAACCGACGGAUAACGAC